rnacentral:rRNA from 1 species
GCACCUACGGGGGGCAGCAGUGGGGAAUAUUGCACAAUGGGCGAAAGCCUGAUGCAGCAACGCCGCGUGAAGGAAGGAGGGCUUCGGCUCGUAAACUUCUAUUAACAGGGACGAAAGAAAUGACGGUACCUGAAUAAGAAGCCCCGGCUAACUACGUGCCAGCAGCCGCGGUAAUAAGUAGGUGGCAAGCGUUGUCCGGAUUUACUGGGUGUGAAGGGCGUGCAGCCGGGCUGACAAGUCAGAUGUGAAGUCCCGCGG